AAUUUGGACGCUUUAAAAUUGAGAAUGGAAAUGGGGAAUGUGCCAAAGAGACAACAACCCGACCAUAGAGCAGACAACAGCAGAAGGUCACCAACAGGUCUUCAAUGCAACAAGAAAUUCCCGCACCCGGAGGCGUCCUUCAGCUGGCCCCUAAACAAAUAUAUACUAGUUCAGUGAUAAUGAACGCCAUACUAAACUCCAAAUUGUACACAAG
rnacentral:lncRNA from 1 species